rnacentral:rRNA from 1 species
UACGAAGGGUGCAAGCGUUACUCGGAAUUACUGGGCGUAAAGCGUGCGUAGGCGGUUUGUUAAGUCCGCUGUGAAAGCCCUGGGCUCAACCUGGGAAUUGCAGUGGAUACUGGCAAGCUAGAGUGCGGUAGAGGAUGGUGGAAUUCCCGGUGUAGCGGUGAAAUGCGUAGAGAUCGGGAGGAAUACCGGUGGCGAAGGCGGCAUCCUAGACCGAUAUUGACACUGAGGAGCGAAAGCCAGGGGAGCAAACGGG